rnacentral:rRNA from 1 species
AUGCAAGAUCAGGUCGGCCUGGAGCUGGACGGCUUCCCGCUGGACCAAGAGUUUCUGGAGGACUAUGUACUCAAGGAAGAGGAUGAAUUGGACAUCAACGGGGAGCCUUUGUUCGAGGACGAGCUCACCAACCAAGCUACCGGAGCGAAGCCGAAGUGCAAGAGCAAGCGGACGAAGGCAUACAUGGCAGCCGAGGACAAGCUCAUUUGUGAGUGUUGGAGGGACAUUGGGCAAGACCCAAAGGUAGGCGUCGAACAAAAGGCAUCAACCUUUUGGAUUUGUGUCCACCGUGAGUUCCAUGAAAGCAAUAAGUUUGCACCAUACCAAAUGCAUAGCACGCGUGGGUGGGUGUCCAUUUCUAAGCGAUGGAGGGUGAUCCAAUGA